UUUGCUUUUUGCUUGUUCUUUGGUUUUUCCUUAGGGUAUGGACAAGGUGCAGUGGCAGAUGCAAAUUUCAGAGCAGGUACUCUAAGUCUGGUGGGCUGUCUGUGGCAUUCCCUGUACUUACAACCAGCAAGCAAGCCAGCAAGACUGUUUCAUGCAUGCAGUCAUAUGGCUCAGAGUAUUUUCUGAAAAAGUCCUGCAGUGCAGAGGAGUCAAACAUUUGAUCACAUGCAGCAGCACAAGAUAGAUGGAGUACAGCUGACUCAACAGCUACAGGGGAUUUGGAAUGGAAACAAUCACUUGCUUGAAGGAAACAAUGUUAUCCAACUUGUGGUGUCAGUCAGCCUAUUCCCACAGUCACUGCAUUGAUGGAGGAAAAUUUUGUUUAUAAAGAAGGGGGAGAUGUGUGGAAUCCUGCACAAGAAGCUGCACCAGUAGACUUGGACGAGAGCCCAGACAUCUGGACUCUUAUCAGCCACAAACCCUGGGAGAAGUGAGCGGGACAAGUCGGGAAGAACAGGAAAAAGAACAUCAGGUGGAACCGAAGAAAGAGCAUAAAGGUAAUUUCUGAGGACUGUACAUUUGGAAACAGCAGGAUGCUUAGGCAAGAUAAAGAAUGUGUAGUCAAGGGGAAGUGGAAAUGACAAUGCGGCGAGUAGUGAUAGCAGAGAACUAUGUUUAGAAAUAAUUACUCAAGCAAAGGCGUGUUGACAGUAAUGUGAUUGGCUGGAAGAGUGCGUGAUCAGUAAGACUUUUUUGUGAUCAAAAAGUAGCAAAAGAAUUAACUGCUGCUAAGCACUAGGCAGAAUACUAUAAAAACCUGUAAGCUCACUCAAUAAAGGAUUUUGUUUGUAGCCAGAAAUGGAAUCUAUGCCUCAGCUGACACAAGAUCAGGCAUGGCAACGGAUGCCAUCCCAUUGAAAGGACGACCCGUGUGCAGUAGGGAC
rnacentral:lncRNA from 1 species